AUUGAACGCUGGCGGCAGGCUUAACACAUGCAAGUCGAGCGGAGUGAUGGUGCUUGCACUAUCACUUAGCGGCGGACGGGUGAGUAAUGCUUAGGAAUCUGCCAUUUAGUGGGGGACAACAUUCCGGAAGGAAUGCUAAUACCGCAUACGUCCUACGGGAGAAAGCAGGGGAUCUUCGGACCUUGCGCUAAAUGAUGAGCCUAAGUCGGAUUAGCUAGUUGGUGGGGUAAAGGCCUACCAAGGCGACGAUCUGUAGCGGGUCUGAGAGGAUGAUCCGCCACACUGGGACUGGGAAACGGCCCAGACUCCUACGGGAGGCAGCAGUGGGGAAUAUUGGACAAUGGGCGGAAGCCUGAUCCAGCCAUGCCGCGUGUGUGAAGAAGGCCUUUUGGUUGUAAAGCACUUUAAGCGAGGAGGAGGCUCUCCUAGUUAAUACCUAGGGUGAGUGGACGUUACUCGCAGAAUAAGCACCGGCUAACUCUGUGCCAGCCGCCGCGGUAAUAC
rnacentral:rRNA from 1 species